GAUGAAGAACGUAGCGAAAUGCGAUACUUGGUGUGAAUUGCAGAAUCCCGUGAACCAUCGAGUCUUUGAACGCAAGUUGCGCCCGAAGCCAUUAGGCCGAGGGCACGCCUGCCUGGGCGUCACACGUCGUUGCCCCCCCCAUCUACUCCUUCGGGAUUGCGGGGGGCGGAUGAUGGCCUCCCGUGCGCCUCGCCGCGCGGUUGGCAUAAAUGCCAAGUCCUCGGCGACGCACGCCACGACAAUCGGUGGUUGCGAAACCUCGGUUGGCCGUCGUGUGCGGUCGUCGCGCAUCGAGGGCUCGAAAAAAUUGCCGAGUUCCGGCUCGGCUUUCAACGCGACCCCAGGUCAGGCGGGGUUACCCGCUGAAUUUAAGCAUAUCAAUAAGCGGAGGA
rnacentral:misc_RNA from 1 species